rnacentral:rRNA from 1 species
AUUGAACGCCGGCGGCAGGCUUAACACAUGCAAGUCGAGCGGAGAUGAGGUGCUUGCACCUUAUCUUAGCGGCGGACGGGUGAGUAAUGCUUAGGAAUCUGCCUAUUAGUGGGGGACAACAUUCCGAAAGGAAUGCUAAUACCGCAUACGCCCUACGGGGGAAAGCAGGGGAUCUUCGGACCUUGCGCUAAUAGAUGAGCCUAAGUCGGAUUAGCUAGUUGGUGGGGUAAAGGCCUACCAAGGCGACGAUCUGUAGCGGGUCUGAGAGGAUGAUCCGCCAAACGGGGACUGAGACACGGCCCAGACUCCUACGGGAGGCAGCAGUGGGGAAUAUUGGACAAUGGGCGGAAGCCUGAUCCAGCCAUGCCGCGUGUGUGAAGAAGGCCUUUUGGUUGUAAAGCACUUUAAGCGAGGAGGAGGCUACCUGGAUUAAUACUCUAGGAUAGUGGACGUUACUCGCAGAAUAAGCACCGGCUAACUCUGUGCCAGCAGCCGCGGUAAAAC